rnacentral:piRNA from 1 species
UGGAAUGAGCUCAGGGUCCUCGAUG